UACGUAGGGCGCAAGCGUUGUCCGGAAUUAUUGGGCGUAAAGAGCUCGUAGGCGGUUUGUUGCGUCGGCUGUGAAAUCCCGAGGCUCAACCUCGGGUCUGCAGUCGAUACGAGCAAACUAGAGUGUUGCAGGGGAGACUGGAAUUCCUGGUGUAGCGGUGAAAUGCGCAGAUAUCAGGAAGAACACCCGUGGCGAAAGCGGCUCUCUGGAACGGUACUGACGCUGAGACGCGAAAGCGUGGGGAGCGAACAGG
rnacentral:rRNA from 1 species